UGACUNGAGUGCAGAAGGGGAGAGUGGAAUUCCAUGUGUAGCGGUGAAAUGCGUAGAUAUAUGGAGGAACACCAGUGGCGAAAGCGGCUNUCCGGUCUGUCACUGACGCUGAGGCUNGAAAGCGUGGGUAGCGAACAGGAUUAGAUACCCUGGUAGUCCACGCCGUAAACGAUGAGUGCUAGGUGUUAGGCCCUUUCCGGGGCUUAGUGCCGGAGCUAACGCAAUAAGCACUCCGCCUGGGGAGUACGACCGCAAGGUUGAAACUCAAAGGAAUUGACGGGGGCCCGCACAAGCGGUGGAGCAUGUGGUUUAAUUCGAAGCAACGCGAAGAACCUUACCAGGUCUUGACAUCCCGAUGCUAUUCUUAGAGAUAGGAAGUUACUUCGGUACAUCGGAGACAGGUGGUGCAUGGUUGUCGUCAGCUCGUGUCGUGAGAUGUUGGGUUAAGUCCCGCAACGAGCGCAACCCUUAUUGUUAGUUGCCAUCAUUAAGUUGGGCACUCUAGCGAGACUGCCGGUAAUAAACCGGAGGAAGGUGGGGAUGACGUCAAAUCAUCAUGCCCCUUAUGACCUGGGCUACACACGUGCUACAAUGGUCGGUACAACGAGUUGCGAGCCGGUGACGGCAAGCUAAUCUCUGAAAGCCGAUCUCAGUUCGGAUUGGAGGCUGCAACUCGCCUCCAUGAAGUCGGAAUCGCUAGUAAUCGCGGAUCAGCACGCCGCGGUGAAUACGUUCCCGGGCCUUGUACACACCGCCCGUCACACCACGAGAGUUUGUAACACCCGAAGUCGGUGAGGUAACCUUUUAG
rnacentral:rRNA from 1 species